UGAGCGCGGCUGCUGCCGGCGAGCUAGCGGCGCAGCGGCGGGAACCGGAGGCCGAGCGCCGCGGCGGCAGCGCUAGAAGCGCACCCAUCGGGCACGGCGAGGCGGCCCACGGUGCGGCAGGCACCGGGAGGCGAGAGCCGGCGCGGACAGUAGGCGGCGGCUGCAGCUCGUUGGCGGCUGCUGCGAGGAUGCUGCCUGGGCGGCUGUGCUGGGUGCCGCUCCUGCUGGCGCUGGGCGUGGGGAGCGGCAGCGGCGGUGGCGGGGACAGCCGGCAGCGCCGCCUCCUCGCGGCUAAAGUCAAUAAGCACAAGCCAUGGAUCGAGACUUCAUAUCAUGGAGUCAUAACUGAGAACAAUGACACAGUCAUUUUGGACCCACCACUGGUAGCCCUGGAUAAAGAUGCACCGGUUCCUUUUGCAGGGGAAAUCUGUGCGUUCAAGAUCCACGGCCAGGAGCUGCCCUUUGAGGCUGUGGUGCUCAACAAGACAUCAGGAGAGGGCCGGCUCCGUGCCAAGAGCCCCAUUGACUGUGAGUUGCAGAAGGAGUACACAUUCAUCAUCCAGGCCUAUGACUGUGGUGCUGGGCCCCACGAGACAGCCUGGAAAAAGUCACACAAGGCCGUGGUCCAUAUACAGGUGAAGGAUGUCAACGAGUUUGCUCCCACCUUCAAAGAGCCAGCCUACAAGGCUGUUGUGACGGAGGGCAAGAUCUAUGACAGCAUUCUGCAGGUGGAGGCCGUUGACGAGGACUGCUCCCCACAGUACAGCCAGAUCUGCAACUAUGAAAUCGUCACCACAGAUGUGCCUUUUGCCAUCGACAGAAAUGGCAACAUCAGGAACACUGAGAAGCUGAGCUAUGACAAACAACACCAGUAUGAGAUCCUGGUGACUGCCUACGACUGUGGACAGAAGCCCGCUGCUCAGGACACCCUGGUGCAGGUGGAUGUGAAGCCAGUUUGCAAGCCUGGCUGGCAAGACUGGACCAAGAGGAUUGAGUACCAGCCUGGCUCCGGGAGCAUGCCCCUGUUCCCCAGCAUCCACCUGGAGACGUGCGAUGGAGCCGUGUCUUCCCUCCAGAUCGUCGCAGAGCUGCAGACUAAUUACAUUGGGAAGGGUUGUGACCGGGAGACCUACUCUGAGAAAUCCCUUCAGAAGUUAUGUGGAGCCUCCUCUGGCAUCAUUGACCUCUUGCCAUCCCCUAGUGGUGCCACCAACUGGACUGCAGGACUGCUGGUGGACAGCAGUGAGAUGAUCUUCAAGUUCGACGGCAGGCAGGGCGCCAAAAUCCCCGAUGGGAUUGUGCCCAAGAACCUGACCGAUCAGUUCACCAUCACCAUGUGGAUGAAACACGGCCCCAGCCCUGGUAUGAGAGCCGAGAAGGAAACCAUCCUCUGCAACUCAGACAAAACCGAAAUGAACCGGCAUCACUAUGCCCUGUAUGUGCACAACUGCCGCCUCGUCUUUCUCUUGCGGAAGGACUUCGACCAGGCUGACACCUUUCGCCCCGCGGAGUUCCACUGGAAGCUGGAUCAGAUUUGUGACAAAGAGUGGCACUACUAUGUCAUCAAUGUGGAGUUUCCUGUGGUAACCUUAUACAUGGAUGGAGCAACAUAUGAACCAUACCUGGUGACCAAUGACUGGCCCAUUCAUCCAUCUCACAUAGCCAUGCAACUCACAGUCGGCGCUUGUUGGCAAGGAGGAGAAGUCACCAAACCACGGUUUGCUCAGUUCUUUCAUGGAAGCCUGGCCAGUCUCACCAUCCGCCCUGGCAAAAUGGAAAGCCAGAAGGUGAUCUCCUGCCUGCAGGCCUGCAAGGAAGGGCUGGAUAUUAAUUCCUUGGAAAGCCUUGGCCAAGGAAUAAAGUAUCACUUCAACCCCUCGCAGUCCAUCCUGGUGAUGGAAGGUGACGACAUUGGGAACAUUAACCGUGCUCUCCAGAAAGUCUCCUACAUCAACUCCAGGCAGUUCCCAACGGCGGGUGUGCGGCGCCUCAAAGUCUCCUCCAAAGUCCAGUGAGUGGACGCUGGUCAGCCUGGGGCCAACUGAGGCAGCAGUUGGGAAGGUCCCAACUGAGGUCCCUUGGGAAUGUUCCCUCACAAAACAGGAUUUGCCUUCCUUCAGCUGUCCUCAACUUCUGCUAUUCCUCUGAGGAUGCCUCAAUGGAUCUGUGUUCUUGUUUUCUUCCUAAGCAAGAUGUUCUGUUGUUUUACCACCUUGAAUCCACCUUUCUCUAUCUUGUAUCUUAUCUAAUGCCUAGAAGGUACUACUUUCUAUAAAUUCUCAGAGAGCUAGGAAUUUGAAGUGAUCUGGGUGUGCGUUUGAAGUGUUCUGAUUUAAGGGCACAGUGCGUGGUACAUAGGAAAUCCUUGACAAAUGUUUAUUAAAUUGAAUUAAGUUAACCAACCC
rnacentral:sRNA from 1 species